rnacentral:rRNA from 1 species
GAGCGAACGCUGGCGGCAGGCCUAACACAUGCAAGUCGAACGGAUCNUUCGGGAUUAGUGGCGGACGGGUGAGUAACACGUGGGAACGUGCCCUUUGGUUCGGAACAACUCAGGGAAACUUGAGCUAAUACCGGAUGUGCCCUUCGGGGGAAAGAUUUAUCGCCAUUGGAGCGGCCCGCGUCUGAUUAGCUAGUUGGUGGGGUAAAGGCCCACCAAGGCGACGAUCAGUAGCUGGUCUGAGAGGAUGAUCAGCCACAUUGGGACUGAGACACGGCCCAAACUCCUACGGGAGGCAGCAGUGGGGAAUCUUGCGCAAUGGGCGAAAGCCUGACGCAGCCAUGCCGCGUGAAUGAUGAAGGUCUUAGGAUUGUAAAAUUCUUUCACCGGGGACGAUAAUGACGGUACCCGGAGAAGAAGCCCCGGCUAACUUCGUGCCAGCAGCCGCGGUAAUACGAAGGGGGCUAGCGUUGCUCGGAAUUACUGGGCGUAAAGGGAGCGUAGGCGGACUGUUUAGUCAGAGGUGAAAGCCCAGGGCUCAACCUUGGAAUUGCCUUUGAUACUGGCAGUCUUGAGUACGGAAGAGGUAUGUGGAACUCCGAGUGUAGAGGUGAAAUUCGUAGAUAUUCGGAAGAACACCAGUGGCGAAGGCGACAUACUGGUCCGUUACUGACGCUGAGGCUCGAAAGCGUGGGGAGCAAACAGGAUUAGAUACCCUGGUAGUCCACGCCGUAAACGAUGAGUGCUAGUUGUCGGCAUGCAUGCAUGUCGGUGACGCAGCUAACGCAUUAAGCACUCCGCCUGGGGAGUACGGUCGCAAGAUUAAAACUCAAAGGAAUUGACGGGGGCCCGCACAAGCGGUGGAGCAUGUGGUUUAAUUCGAAGCAACGCGCAGAACCUUACCACCUUUUGACAUGCCUGGACCGCCACAGAGAUGUGGUUUUCCCUUCGGGGACUGGGACACAGGUGCUGC